rnacentral:rRNA from 1 species
GAUGAACGCUGGCGGCGUGCCUAACACAUGCAAGUCGAGCGAACGGACGAGAAGAUUCCUUCUCUGAUGUUAGUGGCGGAUGGGUGAGUAAGAAGUGGGUAAACUACCUCUAAGACAGGGAUCACUUCGCGAAACCAGAGCUACUACCGGACGAUAUUUUGAACCGAUUGGACAAUAAGAAAAAGACGGUAUUGCUUUAAAUUUAAGAUGGUUACACGCUGCAUUGUCUCGUUGGUAAGGUAACCGCUUAUAAAGGCAACCAUGGAUAGCCGACCUGAAAGGGAGUACGGCCACACUGGAACUGAGGCACGACCGAGACACUGACGGUGGGCAGCGGUAGGGAAUCUUCCGCAAGGGGGGAAAGCCGGAUGGUGCAACACGGCGGGAGUUAUGAAGGUCUUCGGAUCGUAAAACGCUGUUAUUAGGGGAGAAGAAAUGUUUAAGUAACUGUGCACAUCAUGACGGUACCUAAGCAGAAAGCCACGGCUAACUACGUG